rnacentral:rRNA from 1 species
UACGUAGGGUGCAAGCGUUAUCCGGAAUCACUGGGCGUAAAGCGUGCGUAGGUGGGAAUUUAAGUGGAGAUGUGAAAUCGUGUGGCUCAACCAUAUCGUUGUAUCUCAUACUGGGUUCCUAGAGGACGGCAGAGGCAAGUGGAACUAGCAGUGUAGCAGUGAAAUGCGUAGAUAUUGCUAAGAACACCAAUGGCGAAGGCAGCUUGCUGGGCCACUCCUGACACUGAGGUACGAAAGCGUGGGGAGCGAACAGG